AAUAAUGUUAUGAACAUUUGUGCACAAGUUUUUAUGCAGACAUAUGUUUUCCUUUCUUUAGGAAACACACACACAC